GACGAACGCUGGCGGCGUGCUUAACACAUGCAAGUCGAACGGUGAAGCGCCUUCCUUUUUGGUGGGUGUGGAUGAGUGGCGAACGGGUGAGUAACACGUGAGUAACCUGCCCCCUUCUUCUGGAUAACCGCAUGAAAGUGUGGCUAAUACGGGAUAUUCUGGGUCUGUCGCAUGAUGGGUCUGGGAAAGAUAUUGUUUCGGUGGGGGAUGGGCUCGCGGCCUAUCAGCUUGUUGGUGGGGUGAUGGCCUACCAAGGCGGUGACGGGUAGCCGGCCUGAGAGGUACCACGAACGCAAUGCUACACAGACACGCGACAGACUGAUAGGUGAGUAAGAAGUGAAGAAUAGUGAACAAUGAGAACAAGGAUAAUGCAGCCAGUCAGCGCGAGGGAGGGAGAACUUUGGGUUGUGAACCUCUUGCGCCAGGCAAGCUGGAAUCCUUCGUUUGUGUGUGUGUCGACGGUAGUUGGAUAAGAAGCGCCGGCUAACUACGUG
rnacentral:rRNA from 1 species